rnacentral:tRNA from 1 species
AAAAAGAUAAGCUAAAUGUAAGCUAACGGGCUCAUACCCCGUCUAUGAAGGCCACUUCUCUUUUUA